GGCCUUUUGAGAAUAAUUUAAGGUCGGGCCUGCCCAAUGAUAGAGUUUAAUGGCCGCGGUAUAUUAACUGUGCAAAGGUAGCAUAAUCAUUAGUUUUUUAAUUGAAAGCUGGAAUGAAGGGUUUAAUGAAAAAAGUUCUGUCUUUAGCUAAAUUUUUUAGAAGUUUAUUUUUAAGUAAAAAAGCUUAAAUAAUUAUUGAAGACGAGAAGACCCUGUAGAGUUUAAUAUUUAAAUAAUAUAAUGUAUUUGGUAUUUUUAAUUUAUUUUUUUUAAGUAUUUGGUUGGGGUGACUGAAAAAUUAAAAAAACUUUUUUUAUAAUAAACAUUAAUUUAUGAUUAAAUGAUCCUUUAUUUAGAUUAAAAGAAUAAAUUACCUUAGGGAUAACAGCGUGAUUUUUUUUAGAGUUCUUAUCGAAAGAAAAGAUUGCGACCUCGAUGUUGGAUUAAAAUAAAUUAUUGGUGUAGAAGCUAAUAUGAUUAGGUCUGUUCGACCUUUAAAUUUUUACAUGAUCUGAGUUUAGACCGGUUUAAG
rnacentral:rRNA from 1 species